rnacentral:lncRNA from 1 species
UGGGGUUAUUAAUGGGAUUAUGGGAUUAUUAAUGGGAUUAUGGGGUUAUUAAUGGGGUUAUGAGGUUAUUAAUGGGGUUAUGAGGUUAUUAAUGGGGUUAUGGGGUUAUUAAUGGGGUUAAUGGGGUUAUUAAUGGGAUUAUGGGGUUAUUAAUGGGGUUAUGGGAUUAUUAAUGGGAUUAUGGGGUUAUCAAUGGGAUUAUGGCCCUAUUAAUGGGAUUAUCAAUGGGAUUAUGACCCUAUUAACGGGAUUAUGACCCUAUUAAUGGGAUUAUUAAUGGGAUUAUGACCCUAUUAAUGGGAUUAUGGCCCUAUUAAUGGGAUUAUGGCCCUAUUAAUGGGAUUAUCAAUGGGAUUAUGGGAUUAUUGACGGGAUAAUGGGAUUAU